rnacentral:lncRNA from 1 species
CAAAUUUAAAAAUCAAUUUUUUCAUAGUCGAUAGUACUUUUACAUGUCAAAAUUGUCAAUAGACAUAAUACAUAGAUUUGUCCUUGGAUAAUGACAUGGAAAUUAAUAGAAUUAACUUUCAAAAUGAUUUUUUUUUUAAUUCCCUCCCCUGAUGAUCUUGUAUGGACAGCCUGUUGGAUCGUUUGGAUCACAGGGUUGAUGGUGUUUAGGGCCUGAAUAGUCAAUGCCAACCUCCAUUUGUAGGCUUUCCUUCUCAUUUCCUUCUGGAUCUGCCACUUCAACUCCUUUGAUGCCCUUCACAAAUUACCAAGAAUUAGAUUCAAGUUUCAACUGAAAAUACAACAAAUAUAGUAGUUAUAAUGAUAAUAAUAACUACAACGAGGGAAAACCUGAGAGAAUUUUUUGUUGGGUAGCUCUUCUUCUUUAUUUGAAACAAAGCUUUGUCC